rnacentral:piRNA from 1 species
CCAAGAGGGUUUAAGAAUGCAAGG